GACAGAGGGUGCAAACGUUGUUCGGAAUUACUGGGCGUAAAGGGCGCGUAGGCGGCCACCGCAAGUCGAUUGUGAAAUCUCCGGGCUUAACCCGGAAAGGUCAACCGAUACUGCGGGGCUAGAGUGCAGAAGGGGCAACUGGAAUUCUCGGUGUAGCGGUGAAAUGCGUAGAUAUCGAGAGGAACACCUGCGGCGAAGGCGGGUUGCUGGGCUGACACUGACGCUGAAGUGCGAAAGCUAGGGGAGCGAACGGG
rnacentral:rRNA from 1 species